rnacentral:lncRNA from 10 species
GUCAUUUUAUUGCCCACUGACAGUUCUAUUAGCUAUUCCUCAAAUUAAUCAAUUUUGAUAGUUGGCUGGUUAAGUUUGGUGUGGGAAGGAAGUUUAAAACAUUUGCUGACAUAAGUUUGGUGGCCUAUCUAUAAUUUUGAUACCGGGAACUUGCAGCAAAUUUAGCACAGGUAAAAUACAUUAAAGCUCUAACCCUUCUGAAAAUUCCCAGGGCUUAUUUUAAUGGGUUAGGCAUAGUCUGACUGUAUAGCUCAGAUGGAGCCUUCAUAUUUACUUUUACAGCGCACCUCUUUAAGAGAGAACAUUCACAAUGGAAAACAGCGGCAAGGGUUAGAAGACUUUUAAAAGGAGGCUGUUAGUGCAGCAGUAAAAUUUGGCCAGAUGCUCACAAAAUGUCUCGGAUAACAGCUGGACUCAUAAUGUCCUCAUCAUGACCGGAGGGGACAAAGAAGCUGAAUUCCUAGACCAGUCUAUCUAUUCGAACACUUCAUCAAUUGUAUCUGCAAAAAUAUUAAUCAAGACACAAAGUUCAAACCAGUAGAGCUGCUGGCUUAUUCUGGGCCUACAGUCCCAUCCUUGAAAUUUUACUUUCUUUUUGUUGAGCUCCUUGAAUUUGAGGAAGGCCAAAUGUGAGAGAGGAUGAUGAAGAAAGGGUAAAAGUUGCUUGUAGCUGGGCAUGGGAAGCUCCAAUGCCACCACAGAGAAAAGUCUCUACCAGCUCAGGAGCUUGGAAAGGGCCCUGGUGGAGGAGAAUUUGCAUAAGGAAAUCACCAGCUCUAGUACACUUGUAGCAUGUGACAGGAAAAAUUUGUCAUUGGCUAUUUAUGAAUUAAAUCUUAAUAAAAUCCCUAGGUCUUCCCUAACCAAGCACAAAUGUCUUAAGAGGUUACCUAUAAUUUUGAACAUCCUUUCAGGACAUUUUCUGCAUAGUUAAUGUGGGCAGUUGUGUCUAGGCACAGGACAGAUUUACUUCUAUGUCAAUAUUUAAGGCACUGUAUAUGGCACAGAGACCCCAUUAUUCAGUGAAAAUAUGGCCUAUUCAAGGAGAUGAAAGUUUAGUGAGAAUCUUAACUAGGAAGACAACAAAGUUACUCUAUCAAAGAAAUAAUUUAAAUGACUUUGAAGAGAAAAUAAGAUUUUUUUUUAAAUGGAAAGUUUAUUUUCCAACCUACAAGACAGUUAAAUAGUUAGCAUAUCUCUUAAACCCUAAAUUUUAAUUUAGCACUCAGAGUGAUGUCACUGAUAGUCUCUAGCUCUUAAUAAAUGCAGUUCAUCUUCUCGUGUGUCAGUUUUCUCAUUUUAAAAAUUAAUUAUAAUGAUAUAACAGUCUUUAAAUGAUUUUUUUUUUUUUUCCUGAGAUGGAGUCUCCCUCUGCUCCCUCUGUCACCCAGGCUGGAAUGCAAUGGUGUGAUCUCGGCUCACUGCAACCUCUGCCUUCCAGGUUCAAAUGAUUCUCCUGCCUCAGCCUCCCCAGUAGCUGGGAUUACAGGCGCCUGCCACUACUCCUGGCUAAUUUUUAUAUUUUUUUGUAGAGACAGGGUUUCACCAUGUUGGCCAGGCUGGUCUCAAACUCCUGACUUCAAGCGAUCCACCCGCCUUGGCCUCCCAAAGUGCUGGGAUUACAGGUGUGAGCCACCAUGCCCAGCUCUAAAUGAUUCAUAGCAUAAUAGUAACACAUUUGAUGAUACAUGAACAACUAUAGGUAGAGCUAGAGGUAGGAAAAAAAUGAAAUGAAAUUAUUUCCCUGGCUUUUCCUGGGUUGUAACAAAUUCCCAGAACAUUUGAACCCUCCACUGAAUCUAGGUUUAUGAUAUAAAAUUGAAGAGUAGAAAAGGACAUCUUAGGAACAAAAGUACAAAGAAGAAAGGGAUACAUCAAAUUGGUGAGUGAGCAGAAAUAACGACAUCCAGAAGGAAUUUUCUACCCUGACUCUUAUUUUUUAGGAACACUUUCUACUCCGCCUCCCUGACUUCUGCCUUCCAUCUUAAGCCCUAGCUUAUCACCAACACUAAGUGUAAAAUCAGUUUGGAGACCAGGGGAAGUGAAAUAUAAUUUAUUCAGCAAAAAUUAUAGAGAUGGUUUAAGGAAGGUAAAAGUAAUUUCAUAAUUUGGAAUUUGGCUAGCAAAUAAAAACUAAUAUCCAACUCCUUUUCCCAUUUCUAUAAAAACAUUUACAGUGAGGAAGUCUUUAGCAUGACUAGGAGUGAGAAUCAUGAUUUCAUAUCUCCUGUGAAUUGCAACAAUUGCAACAAUAUUGUUGAAUAUUGAAGCAAUUUUCCAGUCCUGCAGGGAUAUGUAAGAGUUUUUAAAAGCAGAAAAAAAAAGACACCUAGAAGCAAGGUCAGACAGGAAAAUAACAUUUUAAGGGGCCACUAAAUAAUUUUUGAAACCCCAUUUGAAAUUUAUAAACUGAUCAUUUAAUGGUUUUGGCUUUUAUAAAUAUGAUGUGUAUUCUUGUUUCUUGAUUUCUAUAAUCAAAUGAUAAAAGAUAAUAUAAUAUAAAUAGCAGCAGAUAAUUUUGGACGUGAUCAUCAAAUGAAGUUUUCUAGCUGAAAAAUUGAAGUGGAUGCAAAUAUACAAAGGAAGUUUAUGCACGAUUUUAGACUAAAGAACAAUCCAUUUGACCAAAAGACAUCUUAUUAUUUGUAAUAGAUGACUUCAAUUGCAAUCAAAUGACAAAUGUAAGUAUUAUAUGUACAUUUGAUUGUCAUUUGAUAUUAUAUACAUAUAUAUACACUAUCCAAAUAUAUUUGAUUUAAAGAAAACUAUCAUAAAAACCAUAGUUAGAAUUCACUUUAGCAAUUAAGUACAAUGAUUACACAGCAGCUGUAAGUCAAAUGAUUCUAUGAUGAACUACACAAUUAGAUAUAAAAAUAAACUGUGAUAGCUAAAGACCUUGAAGUACAACUUUAAAAUACAUUAAGUAGUAUAUACACUUGAUUUUAAUCUAUCAAAAAUUAUGUUAAUUGUAAUUUCAGUUAUAUAUUACUUAGAGCAGUCUAUCAAAUCACAAAAUGUGCCUCUGCAAAUUUUAAAAAUCACUUGAAUUUUAGUUUUUGUGCCUGCAUUCUCUCCUUACACUAUUUUGAAAAUUGCCAAAUUAGUUGUCUAUUUAGUAGUAAGUAUAAUGUGGAGAAAAAGCAUAUUGCUAAAAUGUAUUUAAUCAGAAUUUGUAUUUGCAUCCCUCCAUAACACAUACCUUGAGGUAUUUUCUUGAUCAUGGUAUUAAAAUUAAGUAUUAGGUUCAGCAUACACAAAAGCUAAAAAAUAUGAGAAUCAUAAACAAUAAAGCUCUCAUAAGAUUGUUAUUGAUCAAAAUAUUAAAUCAUUUUGGCUUUUAAUCUGCUGAAAGUACACACUGAGAAAUAUAUUUUGAGCUUCAGAAAAUUUGUUAAAUCCAGUUUAAUAUAUAAUAAUUUCAUCGUAAGUGAUAAAAAUCUGUACCAGUUAUUUUUGGUAGAAACUUUAUUUUCCAGUGUAUAUAAGUAACUUUUGUCCAUAAGUAACUUUUGUUAAUUCACCAUACUUCUAGACUGAAUAUGUUUAAACAAGUUACAUUUCAUCUUAAUUUUCAAAUUAUAAUCAUGGAAUGUCUAAUAAAUCUUAAUGCCAGUUAUUGCUGUCUGAAUUAAAUUGCAAUCUUUAUUGACACAUGGAAAGGGAGGGGGGUUUCUUUCCUUGCUGAGAAUUAUAUUGUUCUGGUUGUUAGAAUUAUAGUGUCACUGCUUUGUUCAAAGCUGGUCAGGGCAAGUUUCUGAACUUGGAUUUAUUACCACUUACUUGUCUUAGGUCUACCACAACCUCAAAAGUUGUGACAGAGACUCUUCAACUUAUACCUUAGCAAAUUAAAAGGACAGGAACAUCAACAGGGACUCUCGGUACAAACAAAAUUUAGGAAUAUUUAUUUGUGCAAGAGAAAAUAUGCUCUGUGGCUCUGUGCCACUUAAAAAAAAAAAAGUAGUCUUGCUUUAGGUUUCAAUUUUCUCAAAUGGAAGAAAUAGACAGAAUAUGUCCCCUGGAUUUUAUGUUUGUACUAUGCCAAAGAAAAUGAGCCAAUGCAUCUGAGUGGUUAAGCAUUAAAGUAUUUUUGAGCAAAUUCCCCAUUUUUUUCCUGCAAUUGAUUUUUUCCUCUAACCUUUAAGUUGGUACUUUUUUUUUUUAAAACUACAUUGAUGCUUUUCUAUUGCGACUUUACCUGUCUCUUCCACCCCCACCUUUCUCUUUCAAAGCAUUUUUUUCAAUCAGCACAUGAGGUUCUGAAAUAAUACUUAGUCUUGGCUUUUCCCUCAACUUUAUUCAGCAAAGCUACUGACUUGAACAAAAGCAGUACUGUACCUGCUCCUGGCCGCCAGAAACAAUGACGAGCGCCUUGAUAAGAUUAGAUGUAAUUUUAAAUGCAGCAGGGACAAAGACUCCCUCCCAUUCGCCCCACUCCUAACCCCCUACUGUAAUUCCACCACAGAGAGCAGUUGAAAAAUCCCGGGACAGAGCCAGACUGCUUGUCCUCCAUGCCUUUUUUGGUUCAGCCCUGUCUAAAUGGAAUGCCCUUUCCCCCUUUAUCUGCCUGUCUGGAAAUUGUGUUCACUCUACAAGACCCAGGUGAUAGGCCCCUUUCUCAACAGAACCUCGAAUUCAGCUUCAUCUUCUGCAUUCCUAUCAUGCCUUUGGGGUGCUUUCUUUAUGGAAUUUAUCACACUCUGCGUAUGAAAUGACAUCAGCUGGAGCAGAAUCAGAUUGUGCAAGUGUCCUAGGGGUCUGUCUUGCAUGCUCUGGGCAGAGCAGCCUCUAGAUGGCAUAGAAUGUUUUAGGAACUUCUUACUUGUCAUGAAAAGCAGAGGACACUGGAGCAGCUGCCUGGCUAAGUUGUGUAAUUUGUGUCAGCCCAAGGAGCCCUGUGUGAGAAGAUAUGAAUCCUCAUAAUAACUGAGGUCCUGGAUAAAACAAACCUGAUUGCAGUACUGUGAGUCCCUCCAAAGAGAUUCAACUGGAGGAGAUCACAGCUCCCAAAAAGAACAUCACUGGUGAGUUGAGAGAAACUGACUAAUAUGGGUGAAAUGAUAGAGAAGCCAGUGGCUACUGUUGUAUCAAGAGACUGUGCCUGACUUGGCCAUGCCUGGCCAUCCCUGCUACGUUCUGGGAAGGAGACUACCAUCUGUAAACAGAAAGACUUGCACCACAAGGGACAUACAGAGUUUGCCGUGGAAGUCACCCUGAAAGAGUAAGUCAGGCUCAAGACAGAAGUGCACAUCUGGAAUGCAGUCUUCAUUCUGUUGAGGUCCCUGUGCAAUUUACUCUGGUCACUAGAAGCAUGGAGAUCAGCUUGGGCAGGAAAAUGCUGGUGGCAGAGUGCUGAGGUCCAGGGUGCCGAAGGACUGAGUAAGUGCAAAAGCCCGAGCAGAGGGAUCCUCUUGGAGAAACUCCCUCCUCAGUGACCCCAUUUGGCCUUCUUAAGAUUCCUGGAGGGGUCCAAAGCAAAGAUCACACUUCCUCCAGGCAGAGUGGUAAGAUUUAGGGUAUGGCUGUCAGUGUGAUACACAGAUACACACAGAAAUGACAUCUUUUUUUACCCUUGCACAUCCUGUGGCAACUUAGUAUGAUGUCAUACAUAUACCCAACAGAUCUACUUAUUUAUUACACUCACAGAUAUUGCUAAGGCCUAAAAUAUAUCUGGCAUUAUUCUAGGUAAUGGGACAAAAAUGGUUAGCAAAAACCAGACAUAAGUUUUGCCCUCAUGGAGCUAAAUGUUAAUUGGGCUAUAAUUCAUGCAAAUAGAUUUACAUUUCAUUAUUCUCUUAUCUCUCCAUGCAGGCUAUUUUGAAAUAUAGCAACACAUGUUUCAUUUAACUUUUAUAAUAUGCUCUUAAAAAUGUGGAGAAGCAAGCAAUGCUAAAACAUAAAUAAGCUAACAGGUUACAAUGUUGUUAGAUAAGUUAACCCUUUGGAAGCUAUAUUAAUUUUUCCAAGUCCCUAGGCCAAUUACUUGCUUUGGAACCCUAAAUUGUCAUGGG